rnacentral:rRNA from 1 species
UAGGGAAUCUUCCGCAAUGGGCGAAAGCUUGACGGAGCAACGCCGCGUGAGUGAUGAAGGUCUUCGGAUCGUAAAACUCUGUUAUUAGGGAAGAACAAAUGUGUAAGUAACUAUGCACGUCUUGACGGUACCUAAUCAGAAAGCCACGGCUAACUACGUGCCAGCAGCCGCGGUAAUACGUAGGUGGCAAGCGUUAUCCGGAAUUAUUGGGCGUAAAGCGCGCGUAGGCGGUUUUUUAAGUCUGAUGUGAAAGCCCACGGCUCAACCGUGGAGGGUCAUUGGAAACGGGAAAACUUGAGUGCAGAAGAGGAAAGUGGAAUUCCAUGUGUAGCGGUGAAAUGCGCAGAGAUAUGGAGGAACACCAGUGGCGAAGGCGACUUUCUGGUCUGUAACUGACGCUGAUGUGCGAAAGCGUGGGGAUCAAACAGG